CCCCACUGCUAUCGGGAUGGGACUAAGACAUGCUAGUCGAGCGUCUCCAAGCUAUGGAAGAGACGCGGCGCGCAGCUCAGUAACACGUGGCUAACCUUCCCUUGGGACAAGGACAACUCCGGGAAACUGGGGCUAAUCCAUGACAAGUGAGAACUCCUGGAAUGGAUUCUCGCUGAAAGGACGUUUAGACCAUGCUUCUAGGCGUCGCCCAAGGAGGGGGCCGCGACCGAUCAGGUUGUUGGUGAGGUAACGGCUCACCAAGCCUUUAACCGGUACGGGCCGUGAGAGCGGGAGCCCGGAGAUGGAAUCUGAGACAAAAUUCCAGGCCCUACGGGGCGCAGCAGUUGCGAAAACUCCGCAAUGCACGAAAGUGUGACGGGGCUACCCCGAGUGCCGUCCGCUGAGGACGGCUUUUCUUCAGUGUAACAAGCUGGAGGCAAUAAUGGGAGGGCAAGAAUGGUGUCAGCCGCCGCGGUAACACCAACUCCUUGAGUGGUGGGGACGAUUAUUGGGCUUAAAGCGUUCGUAGCCAGCUUGAUUUGUCCCGCGUUAAAUCCAGCGACCUAAUCGUUGGGCUGCGUGGGAUACAUUCAGGCUUGGAGGCGGGAGAGGUUAGCGGUACUCUAGGGGUAGGGGUAAAAUCCUGUAAUCCCUGGGGGACCACCAGUGGCGAAGGCGGCUAACCAGAACGCGCUCGACGGUGAGGGACGAAAGCUGGGGGAGCGAACCGGAUUAGAUACCCGGGUAGUCCCAGCUGUAAACGAUGCGGGCUAGCUGUUGGGAUGGCUACGAGCCCUCUCAGUGGCGCAGGGAAACCAUUAAGCCCGCCGCCUGGGAAGUAAGAUCGCAAGAUUGAAACUUAAAGGAAUUGGCGGGGGAGCACCACAAGGGGUGAAGCUUGCGGUUU
rnacentral:rRNA from 1 species